UACGAACUGUGCGAACGUUAUUCGGAAUCACUGGGCUUACAGGGUGCGUAGGCGGCCUUUCAAGUCAGGUGUGAAAUCCCCCGGCUCAACCGGGGAACUGCGCUUGAAACUGGAGGGCUUGAGUCAGCUAGAGGUAGGCGGAACUUCCGGUGGAGCGGUGAAAUGUGUUGAUAUCGGAAGGAACACCAGAGGCGAAAGCGGCCUGCUGGAGCUGGUCUGACGCUGAGGCACGAAAGCCAGGGGAGCGAACGGG
rnacentral:misc_RNA from 1 species